AAGAAGAAAGAAAGAGAGGAGAGACGAGACACACAAGAUGUUGCCUCUUAUUUUCUUCUUAGUUUUUGUAUUUUUUCUUGUUUUUGUGAUUGU
rnacentral:ribozyme from 13 species